rnacentral:lncRNA from 1 species
AGCUGAUCAGCUCUAUAUUUUCAUUAUUUUUAUUCUCCUUCACUGUUUUUUUUUAUAAGACUCAAUAUAUAUAUGAUCUGUAUUCCUCAUUGGGACAGUUAGGUGAAGUAGGUCCUUUUGAUUGGAUUUUUUUAAAGGAUUUUGACAGCACUAAAGCAUAUACAUGUAGUUCCAAUUUAUAGUUGAUCUAAGCUCCUCAAGUGGAAUGUGGCAACACAUAUUGCAUAUACAUGUACAUUGUAGAAUGUUGUUCUUAAGUUUCAGCACAUAGUUUUCGGUUUGCAAGACUACAUGAUACUGGCUUCUCAUAAAAUUCUG